rnacentral:lncRNA from 1 species
AUGCAACAUAACCCCCUAGCUCUUCCCUCCUCUCUCUCCCCCCUCCUCUCCCUCCCCCCAUCCCUCUCUCUCCUCCUCUCCCUCCCUCCCCCAUCCCCCUCUCUCUCCUCCUCUCUCUCCUCCUCUCUCCUCUCUCUCUCCUCUCUCUCUCCUCUCUCUCCUCCUCUCUCUCCUCCUCUCUCCUCCUCUCUCUCUCCUCUCUCCCCUCCUCCUCUCUCCCCUCUUCUCCCUCUCUCUCCUCCUCUCUCUCCUCCUCUCUCCUCCUCUCUCUCACCUCCUCUCUCCUCCUCUCUCUCUCUCCUCUCUCUCUACACCUCUCUCCUCUCUCUCUACACCUCUCUCCUCCUCUCUCUACACCUCUCUCCUCUCUCUCCUCCUCUCUCCUCCUCUCUCUCUCCUCUCUCUCUCCUCUCUCUCUCCUCCUCUCUCUCCUCCUCUCUCUCUCCUGCUCUCUCUCUCCUCCUCUCUCUCCUCUCUCUCUCCUCUCUCUCUCCUCCUCUCUCUCUCCUCCUCUCUCAUCCUCUCUCUCUCCUCCUCUCUCCUCCUCUCUCUCUCUCCUCUCUCUCUAAACCUCUCUCCUCUCUCUCUACACCUCUCUCCUCCUCUCUCUCUCCUCUCUCUCUCCUCCUCUCUCUCUCCUGCUCUCUCUCUCCUCCUCUCUCUCUCCUCUCUCUCCUCCUCUCUCUACACCUCUCUCCUCCUCUCUCUCUCCUCUCUCUCUCUCUCUCUAUCCUGCUCUCUCUCUCCUCCUCUCUCUCUCCUCCUCUCUCUCCUCCUCUCUCUCCUCCUAUCUCUCUCCUCCUCUCUCCUCCUCUCUCUCUAUCUCCACUCUCUCUCCUCCUCUCUCUCUCCUCCUCUCUCUCUCCUCCUCUCGCUCUCCUCUCUCUCUCUCCUCUCUCUCUCCUCUCUCUCCUCUCUCUCUCUCCUCCUCUCUCCUCUCUCUCCUCUCUCCUCUCUCUCUCCUCCUCUCUCUCUCUCCUCUCUCUCUCCUCUUUCUCUACAGCUCUCUCCUCCUCUCUCUUCCUCCAUCGUCUGACAUCAAGUCUUUUUCUUUAUUUUUAUAACCACUUAUUUUUCUCUCGUUUAAAAAAAAGAAGAUAA